ACGAAGUUAGCCGGGACUUAUUCUCCGGGUACCGUCAUUAUCGUCCCCGGCAAAAGAGCUUUACAACCCUAAGGCCUUCGUCACUCACGCGGCAUGGCUGGAUCAGGCUUGCGCCCAUUGUCCAAGAUUCCCC
rnacentral:rRNA from 1 species